rnacentral:lncRNA from 1 species
UAUUAAUUAGGUUUAUUUUGAAAUAUAUUGCAGACUUCAAUGAGUUAAAUCUCUCCUUUAAAUCUGAUCAGGGAAGAGAUUAUGGCUGAAUCAUCUCUUCAGGAAGCAACUUCACUUGCUUUGCUACUGACCAACAUUAUUCUCCCUCAAGAUCUGGUUAACAUAGAAUGAAAGAACUUUAGUUUAGGAGAUUCCCUUUCCUCAAUGUUCUUUUUAGCUGAAAAGUCAGCAAUUUCAUUGCCAAUAAUUAUAUGUGUUCUAACCUAUCAAAUGUUUGUUAUGACACAAUACUGUAUGAUAGUAAACUUAAAAGUUCACAAAGCUAGAGGAAUCAGACCUAAAGCAGACUCUACCAGCAUUUCAAACCAUUUUCUAUGGACCUGUAGGAAUGUGAAUUGCAUUGACCAAUUACAAAAAUUACAAUCCUUGACAAAAAUAUAAUUUGAAAUAAAAAAAUCCAAAAGUUCCAACUAUUCUGAUUAUUUAAAUGUUUAUAAAUAUCAAUAUUCUUAGGCAAAGAUCAGAAAAUCAGGGAAACAUGAUUAGUCUAAUCUCACAGGAAAUUUUUGGGUUUAAA